GCUGAUCUAUCAUUGGUGACUGUCUUGCGUAGCUGAACACCCGGAAACGAAGCACUGGAGAGGACGGCAGGAAACGAAGUUCUUCCUUCCAUUGGGACCCCUCCCCCAAUCUCCACCCACCUAUCUCCCUCCUCUUCUUCAAUGCUGGCGGUAUCCUUCGAAUGGUGGGUAGGCAAAGAUGCCGAGCUGGAC